rnacentral:rRNA from 1 species
CCCCAGGUCGGGCGGGACCACCCGCUGAGUUUAAGCAUAUCAAUAAGCGGAGGA